CGGCAGCCUCCCAGCCUGGAGUGGGGCUUUCUCUCCUGAUUUCUGCUGCCUCUAUCUCUCCCCACGUCUUGGUGCCUCUGCAGAUCCAUCAGCUGCUGCCUUGUGCCUGCUCUUGCCUCAAGCUGCCAAAAGGGCAAGUUGUGUCUCCUGUGCCACUUUGGGCCGUCCUAGAGCUCAGCGUUCGUCUUGGGGUGGGAGUGUUCCCAUUUCCAUAUUCGUUCCCUGGCGCGGUGAGACCUGUCAGUUCUCGGCUCCCUCUGCAAAGUCAGACUCAAGAAGAGUUUGUCAUUAAAUACAAACAACCCAACAAAAGUGGCAAUUCUACCCCCGGCUGAACAUUUCCAUAGAAAGAUGCUGCUUCUGGGCCCAAACAGUUGCAAUGGUUAUUAAAUGUCAAUGUUAUUUAAUUUUUGCUCUCCCCAGUGCUUUGGUGCCUGACUGCUUGUAUCACUCGUUCGCUCAGAAACUUCAGCUUCUCUUGAUGAGAUGGAAUAAACAGUGCCUGGCAGAG